UGGAUUGGAACUGCAGCUUUAGUGUUUCUUUAUGCACUGAGAGUUUAUUAUAUUCAAGGGUUCUACAUUGUUAGCUAUGGUCUUGGAAUCUACAUACUGAACUUGUUGAUUGGGUUUCUAUCACCACUUGUUGACCCUGAACUGGAACCUUCUGAUGGUCCUCUGCUACCUACAAAAGGCUCAGAUGAAUUCAAGCCUUUCAUCCGACGGCUACCUGAGUUCAAGUUCUGGUAAUAUUUCAACCCUUUCUCGUUCCUCCUCUUCUCCUCCUUCUCUAUCUUUUUGUGUGUAUCCUUUUAUUUUUCUUUUGUGGUAAAAUAAGUUUAGUAGUAAUCGGUUAGAUUUGACAUGUGGCACAUUGUAAUAUUAUAUACAAGACUCUCAAGUAAUUAGUUUAAUCUUGUGUUAAUGAAUUUCCAGGUAUGCCAUCACAAAGGCUUUCAUCAUAUCAUUCUUGAUGACCUUCUUCUCCAUGUUUGAUGUUCCUGUUUUUUGGCCAAUACUACUUUGUUAUUGGUUUGUGCUCUUUGCCCUUACAAUGAAACGCCA
rnacentral:lncRNA from 1 species